rnacentral:tRNA from 1 species
GCCCUAGUAGCUUAGUCUAAAAGCAUCGGUCUUGUAAUCCGAAGAU